GAUAAACGCUAGCGGCAGGCUUAACACAUGCAAGUCGAGGGGCAGCAUAGAUUGUAGCAAUACAAUUGGUGGCGACCGGCGCACGGGUGCGGAACGCGUAUGCAACUUACCCGUCACAGGGGGAUAAUCCGGAGAAAUCUGGUCUAAUACCCCAUAACACAUGGAUCGGCAUCGGUUCAUGUUGAAAUUUUCGGAGGUGCCGGAUGGUCAUGCGUAGCAUUAGCUUGUUGGUGAGGUAACGGCUCACCAAGGCGACGAUGCUUAGGGGGACUGAGAGGUUUUCCCCCCACACUGGUACUGAGACACGGACCAGACUCCUACGGGAGGCAGCCGUGAGGAAUAUUGGUCAAUGGGCGCAAGCCUGAACCAGCCAUGCCGCGUGCAGGAUGAUGGCUCUAUGAGUUGUAAACUGCUUUUGUACGAGGGUAAAGUGGGUUACGUGUAACCUUUUGAAAGUAUCGUACGAAUAAGGAUCGGCUAACUCCGUGCCAGCCGCCGCCGUAA
rnacentral:rRNA from 1 species